rnacentral:rRNA from 1 species
UACGUAGGGGGCAAGCGUUGUCCGGAUUUAUUGGGCGUAAAGGGCGCGUAGGCGGCUGUACAAGUCAAAGGUGAAAUCCCUCGGCUCAACUGAGGAACUGCCUUUGAAACUGUACGGCUUGAGGCCGGGAGGGGGUAGCGGAAUUCCCAGUGUAGCGGUGAAAUGCGUAGAUACUGGGAGGAACACCAGUGGCGAAGGCGGCUACCUGGACCGGUUCUGACGCUGAGGCGCGAAAGCGUGGGUAGCAAACAGG